GAAUAUUUCAUUCAAGGGUUUAAUUCAUAAAAGCAGAUUGAAAAUAGAAAUCCUCAUAGUGGUGAAAUCAUUUCCUCACAACAUUAUCCUGACAAUGCAAUAAACACAGACUCUGAAUUUAAAUCAGAUGACAUAAGGUAUUUCUGGAUAAGACAUCUCUUAGGCCUGAGUUUGCAUCACAAAUGGCACCCUAUUCCAUAUAUAGUGCACUACUUUAGACAAGGGCCCAUAAGUAGCUGGUCUGAAGUAGUGUGUUAUGUAGGGGGUAGGUUGCCAUUUGUGAGGCACCCAUUUUUAACAAAUUGAUGAAUUGUGUUUCUUACAUAACACAAGAUUACAUUAUCUGUCUAGACCGGAUUUAGUAAUUUCAUCAAAAUCCCAGGAUUAAUUGUUCUAAUUAUAUUUGUGUGUAUUUCCUAUCAUAAGCCCCAUGGGGACGGUCUGUCCAGUCCACUGGGUCCGAGGUGUUGUCCCAAAUGGCACCCUAUCCCCUUUUAUAAUAAUAAUAAUAUAUGCCAUUUAGCAGACGCUUUUAUCCAAAGCGACUUACAGUCAUGUGUGCACACAUUCUACGUAUGGGUGGUCCCGGGGAUCGAACCCACUACCCUGGCGUUACAAGCGCCAUGCUCUACCAACUGAGCUACAGAAGGACCACAGCCCUAUUGUCUCUGGUUAAAUGAAGGUUUCACAGUACCUUUAUACAGUUACUGUUAACAUGACCCCUUAUUUUCUACAAAACACAAUACAAUGGAGAGGUACUUGUCCACAUGAUGACGCAUGUAUUUAAUGUAGAAAAAAAUGACAUUAACUCAUUUUUCGAACCCAAACGAGCAGUUACUGCCUUUUUGCUUGGUAGGGCAGAAUAGAAUGCUGUAGCACUUACAACGGGUCGGUUGUUCUGAGUGUUGAGGUUGAUCAUUAGUGGGUCCGGGUCGGUUGUUCUGAGUGUUGAGUUUGAUCAUUAGUGGGUCCGGGUCGGUUGUUCUGAAUGGUGUGUGUUGAGGUUGAUCAUUAGUGGGUCCAGGUCGGUUGUUCUGAGUGUUGAGGUUGAUCAUUAGUGGGUCUGGGUCGGUUGUUCUGAAUGGUGUGUGUUGAGGUUGAUCAUUAGUGGGUCCAGGUCGGUUGUUCUGAGUGUUGAGGUUGAUCAUUAGUGGGUCCGGGUCGGUUGUUCUGAGUGUUGAGGUUGAUCAUUAGUGGGUCCGGGUCGGUUGUUCUGAGUGUUGAGGUUGAUCAUUAGUGGGUCCGGGUCGGUUGUUCUGAAUGGUGUGUGUUGAGGUUGAUCAUUAGUGGGUCCGGGUCGGUUGUUCUGAAUGGUGAGGUUGAUCAUUAGUGGGUCCAGGUCGGUUGUUCUGAGUGUUGAGGUUGAUCAUUAGUGGGUCCGGGUCGGUUGUUCUGAAUGGUGUGUGUUGAGUCUGAUCAUUAGUGAGUCUAUUCAUGUGUGACAAUAUUCAAGAUGGUCAUUAUGUAAAGCCACUGUGAUAAAGUCAUGUUUGUUUUCAGUUGGUUUGUUUGGAGAGGCUUUUGCUGGUUUGAGAUCCAGGCAGUUUAUUGGCAGUGGCCUCUUUUAAAGGAAAAUGAUUGUGUUUUUCUAAAAUAACUAGUGUGUAUGUAACUGCAGUGGUUCACUUGAUCUUUCCUUCCUUCCAUCAGCAGUAUUGUCUGUCACAGUUUAUUGGUCUUCUUGUGAACUUGGGUCAGCUGAAUGUCUGUGACGCGCUGUUGUACUUCAGAAAGUGAUCUAACAGGUCUAAGAGGUGAUUUUAGAGUCCUCUUUGGGUCUUCUUGUGAUCAUGGGUCAGCUGAAUGUCUGUGAAGCGCUGUUGUACUUCAGAAAGUGAUCUAACAGGUCUAAGAGGUGAUUUUAGAGUCCUCUUUGGGUCUUCUUGUGAUCAUGGGUCAGCUGAAUGUCUGUGAAGAGCUGUUGUACUUCAGAAAGUGAUCUAACAGGUCUAAGAGGUGAUUUUAGAGUCCUCUUUGGGUCUUCUUGUGAUCAUGGGUCAGCUGAAUGUCUGUGAAGAGCUGUUGUACUUCAGAAAGUGAUCUAACAGGUCUAAGAGGUGAUUUUAGAGUCCUCUUUGGGUCUUCUUGUGAUCAUGGGUCAGCUGAAUGUCUGUGAAGAGCUGUUGUACUUCAGAAAGUGAUCUAACAGGUCUAAGAGGUGAUUUUAGAGUCCUCUUUGGGUCUUCUUGUGAUCAUGGGUCAGCUGAAUGUCUGUGAAGAGCUGUUGUACUUCAGAAAGUGAUCUAACAGGUCUAAGAGGUGAUUUUAGAGUCCUCUUUGGGUCUUCUUGUGAUCAUGGGUCAAAUUAAUCUCUGUGAAGCGCUGUUGUACUUCAGAAAGCGAUCUAGUGGAAGUAACAGAUCUUAAGAGGUGAUUUUAGAGUCCUCUUGUUAAUAACCAUUAUCUGUGUCAAACAAGCAAAACCUCGAAGCUUUAAUCAACUUGGUUUGUUCUUCACAUCUGAUUCUGUACCGUUUCCCUUUAAUGGGACCAGAACCGGUCGAACGUUUAGAAGUGACAGUUGUAAUACAUUUUUUGUAUAUUUCUGGUGUUGUCUGGGCCGUUGCAUUACUCAGAACUGUUGACCCAACUCAAUAGGUGGCCUGUCACCAACCCAUGUCUUAUGUUCUGGUUGAGGUGUUCUCCUCAUUACUCAGAACUGGUGUAUAUUAUGUUCUGGUUGAGGUGUUCUCCUCAUUAAACAGUAACUGGUGUAUAUUAUGUUCUAGUUGAGGUGUUCUCCUCAUUAAACAGUAACUGGUGUAUAUUAUGUUCUAGUUGAGGUGUUCUCCUCAUUAAACAGUAACUGGUGUAUAUUAUGUUCUAGUUGAGGUGUUCUCCUCAUUAAACAGUAACUGGUGUAUAUUAUGUUCUGGUUGAGGUGUUCUCCUCAUUAAACAGUAACUGGUGUAUAUUAUGUUCUGGUUGAGGUGUUCUCCUCAUUAAACAGUAACUGGUGUAUAUUAUGUUCUAGUUGAGGUGUUCUCCUCAUUAAACAGUAACUGGUGUAUAUUAUGUUCUAGUUGAGGUGUUCUCCUCAUUAAACAGUAACUGGUGUAUAUUAUGUUCUAGUUGAGGUGUUCUCCUCAUUAAACAGUAACUGGUGUAUAUUAUGUUCUGGUUGAGGUGUUCUCCUCAUUAAACAGUAACUGGUGUAUAUUAUGUUCUGGUUGAGGUGUUCUCCUCAUUAAACAGUAACUGGUGUAUAUUAUGUUCUGGUUGAGGUGUUCUCCUCAUUAAACAGUAACUGGUGUAUAUUAUGUUCUAGUUGAGGUGUUCUCCUCAUUAAACAGUAACUGGUGUAUAUUAUGUUCUAGUUGAGGUGUUCUCCUCAUUAAACAGUAACUGGUGUAUAUUAUGUUCUAGUUGAGGUGUUCUCCUCAUUAAACAGUAACUGGUGUAUAUUAUGUUCUGGUUGAGGUGUUCUCCUCAUUAAACAGUAACUGGUGUAUAUUAUGUUCUAGUUGAGGUGUUCUCCUCAUUAAACAGUAACUGGUGUAUAUUAUGUUCUAGUUGAGGUGUUCUCCUCAUUAAACAGUAACUGGUGUAUAUUAUGUUCUAGUUGAGGUGUUCUCCUCAUUAAACAGUAACUGGUGUAUAUUAUGUUCUAGUUGAGGUGUUCUCCUCAUUAAACAGUAACUGGUGUAUAUUAUGUUCUAGUUGAGGUGUUCUCCUCAUUAAACAGUAACUGGUGUAUAUUAUGUUCUAGUUGAGGUGUUCUCCUCAUUAAACAGUAACUGGUGUAUAUUAUGUUCUAGUUGAGGUGUUCUCCUCAUUAAACAGUAACUGGUGUAUAUUAUGUUCUAGUUGAGGUGUUCUCCUCAUUAAACAGUAACUGGUGUAUAUUAUGUUCUAGUUGAGGUGUUCUCCUCAUUAAACAGUAACUGGUGUAUAUUAUGUUCUAGUUGAGGUGUUCUCCUCAUUAAACAGUAACUGGUGUAUAUUAUGUUCUAGUUGAGGUGUUCUCCUCAUUAAACAGUAACUGGUGUAUAUUAUGUUCUGGUUGAGGUGUUCUCCUCAUUAAACAGUAACUGGUGUAUAUUAUGUUCUGGUUGAGGUGUUCUCCUCAUUAAACAGUAACUGGUGUAUAUUAUGUUCUAGUUGAGGUGUUCUCCUCAUUAAACAGUAACUGGUGUAUAUUAUGUUCUAGUUGAGGUGUUCUCCUCAUUAAACAGUAACUGGUGUAUAUUAUGUUCUAGUUGAGGUGUUCUCAUUAAACAGUAACUGGUGUAUAUUAUGUUCUGGUUGAGGUGUUCUCCUCAUUAAACAGUAACUGGUGUAUAUUAUGUUCUAGUUGAGGUGUUCCCCUCAUUAAACAGUAAUUGGGGUAGUCUGGUAGCUGUACCAUUUUAGCCCUAGUCGGCAGGUGUUACUACAAUAUACUACAGUGUUGUCUGCAAAAACACAUGAGUUAAGACUACAGUAAUGCCCACAAAAACACGACAGUGAAUACUAUAGUAUACUACAGUAAUGCCCACA